rnacentral:rRNA from 1 species
GAUGAACGCUGGCGGCGUGCCUAAUACAUGCAAGUCGAGCGAACGGACGAGAAGCUUGCUUCUCUGAUGUUAGCGGCGGACGGGGGAGUAAAAUUUGGAAACCCUACCAAUAAGACGGGGUUAAUUCCGGAAAACCGGAGUUAAUACCGAAGAAAAUUAUAAACAGCAUGGUCAAAAAGUGAAAGACGGGCUUCUGGCAACUAAAAAAGGGUCCCCCGCUGCAUUAGCUGGUUGGAAAGUUAACGGCUUACCAAGGCAACGAUGCCUAUCCGACCUGAGAGGGUGAUCGGCCACCCUGGAACUGAGACACGGUCCAGACUCCUACGGGAGGCAGCAGUAGGGAAUCUUCCGCGAUGGGCGAACGCCUGACGGAGCACCGCCGCGUGAGUGAUGAAGGUCUUCGGAUCGUAAAACUCUGUUAUUAGGGAAGAACAUAUGUGUAAGUAACUGUGCACAUCUUGACGGUACCUAAUCAGAAAGCCACGGCUAACUACGUG